GAAAUGCGAUAACUAGUGUGAAUUGCAGAAUUCCGUGAAUCAUCGAGUCUUUGAACGCACAUUGCGCCCCCUGGUAUUCCGGGGGGCAUGCCUGUCCGAGCGUCAUUGCUGCCCAUCAAGCACGGCUUGUGUGUUGGGUCGUCGUCCCCUCUCCGGGGGGACGGGCCCCAAAGGCAGCGGCGGCACCGCGUCCGAUCCUCGAGCGUAUGGGGCUUUGUCACCCGCUCUGUAGGCCCGGCCGGCGCUUGCCGAACGCAAAUCAAUCUUUUUCCGGGUUGACCUCGGAUCAGGUAGGGAUACCCGCUGAACUUAAGC
rnacentral:misc_RNA from 1 species